CAUUCCAGCAUCCCUCUUGGCCCAGCAGAGGGAGGGGAUCCCCCUCUUCAGAUACAGAAGUUCCCUGCUCCCUCCCUUGUUGUCUGGUUAAGAUUUAUUUUGCUUAGCUAGGCACAGUGGUUCUCAGCCUCAGUUAUUUCUCAAGCCCACUUGAGUCUCAGUUCAUCCAAUGAAGCAUCAACUGUCCUAUCCCAACAGCCAUGGAACUGUGAGCUCCAGCAUUCCAUCCGGCCAUCGUAACAUGGGGAUUUAAUUCCCCUAUUAAAAUGUCUUCUGCUCUUUCUACUAAUUUGGCUCCAGAAAGAAAUUACACAACAGAUAAGCAAAUUAGCAGAGUUUUGUAGUAGGGACUUAAUUUAAAAUCCAGUGAAGUCAAUGGGCAAGGAUUUUUGGAUGCUAAUAAAUAAGAGUGGCUCUUUUAAGAACAAAGAAAAAUAUAACCAAAAUAAAGAUGACAGAUGAAGAAAUACAAUUAUCAAGAAAAUAAAGAUGAACAAGGAUGGGGAGCAGGAAGACAGAGUCGGGAACAGGAACACAGGAUACACAGAUGAAUACUCAGGCAACCCCAGGUUGUGACAGGUGGAGCAAACCAGAUUGAGAUGCCGCUACACCUGAUCCCAGGACUGGCCCUUUAUUAGCCAGUCAUUGAGGUAGGAGUAAAUGUGAACACCCUGGUGCCUCAGGUGCUCAGUCAGGGAGUCCCCCAGGACCUAGACUGGGGAGGUGGAGGACAGAACGGCUUUCUGGCCUGCUGAGGGGUAUGAAGGCCUAAGGAAUGGAGGGAAUCUUGUGUCCAUGAGCUCGGAGAAUAGACUGCCCCCUCAAAUGGGACAUCCUGAAUGGUGGCCUGCAUCUCCUGGGAUAACCCGGAGGACUGCAACCAGAGGCGACUACGCUGGCCACCAAGUCCAUAGCAUAUCAGGCCGUCUGGAGGGUCCCUCUCACCACCGCUGUGCCUUCUUCCACUAAAUCCCACUGGCGCCAGCAGAAGUC